rnacentral:tRNA from 1 species
GUCGGGAUAGCUCAGUGUAUCAG